rnacentral:rRNA from 1 species
ACGGGAGGCAGCAGUAGGGAAUCUUCCACAAUGGGCGAAAGCCUGAUGGAGCAACGCCGCGUGAGUGAAGAAGGAUUUCGGUUCGUAAAACUCUGUUGUAAGGGAAGAACAAGUACAGUAGUAACUGGCUGUACCUUGACGGUACCUUAUUAGAAAGCCACGGCUAACUACGUGCCAGCAGCCGCGGUAAUACGUAGGUGGCAAGCGUUGUCCGGAAUUAUUGGGCGUAAAGCGCGCGCAGGUGGUUUCUUAAGUCUGAUGUGAAAGCCCACGGCUCAACCGUGGAGGGUCAUUGGAAACUGGGAGACUUGAGUGCAGAAGAGGAUAGUGGAAUUCCAAGUGUAGCGGUGAAAUGCGUAGAGAUUUGGAGGAACACCAGUGGCGAAGGCGACUAUCUGGUCUGUAACUGACACUGAGGCGCGAAAGCGUGGGGAGCAAACAGGAUUAGAUACCCUGGUAGUCCACGCCGUAAACGAUGAGUGCUAAGUGUUAGGGGGUUUCCGCCCCUUAGUGCUGCAGCUAACGCAUUAAGCACUCCGCCUGGGGAGUACGGUCGCAAGACUGAAACUCAAA